rnacentral:tRNA from 1 species
GCUGGAGUGGUGAAAUUGGUAGACACAUAGUGUUCAGAACGCUACGGGAGCAAUCCCAUGCGGGUUCAAUUCCCGCCUCCAGCA